AAAGCAUCUAAGCGGGAAGCGAGCCCUGAGAUGAGUCUUCCCUGAUACUUUAAGUAUCCUAAAGGGUUGUCGGAGACUACGACGUUGAUAGGUCAGGUGUGUAAGUGCUGUGAGGCAUUGAGCUAACUGAUACUAAUUGCCCGUGAGGCUUAACCAUACAACACCCAAGGGGUUU
rnacentral:rRNA from 1 species